UCAGAGCACCACUGAACCCCCCUCUCCAGGCCUGGGCUUGGGCCUCAGAGCACCACUGAACCCCCCUCUCCAGGCCUGGGCCUGGGCCUCAGAGCACCACUGAACUCCGCUCUCCAGGUGGGCCUGGGACUGGGCCUUGGCCUCAGAGCACCGCUGAACUCCGCUCUCCAGGUGAGCCUGGGACUGGGCCUCAGAGCACCGUUGAACACCCCUCUCCAGGUGGGCCUGGGCCUGGGCCUCAGAGCACCACUGAACACCCCUCUCCAGGUGGGCCUGGGCCUGGGCCUCAGAGCACUGCUGAACCCCCCUCUCCAGGUGGGCCUGGGCCUGGGCCUCAGAGCACCGCUGAACCCCCCUCUCCAGGCCUGGGCUUGGGCCUCAGAGCCCCGCUGAACCCCCCUCUCCAGGCCUGGGCUUGGGCUUCAGAGCACCACUGAACCCCCCUCUCCAGGCCUGGGCCUGGGCCUCAGAGCACCACUGAACCCCCCUCUCCAGGUGGGCCUGGGCCUGGGCCUCAGAGCACCGCUGAACCCCCCUCUCCAGGCCUGGGCUUGGGCCUCAGAGCACUGCUGAACCCCCCUCUCCAGGCCUGGGCCUGGGCCUCAGAGCACCGCUGAACACCCCUCUCCAGAUGGGCCUGGGCCUGGGCCUCAGAGCACUGCUGAACCCCCCUCUCCAGAUGGGCCUGGGCCUGGGCCUCAGAGCACUGCAGAACCCCCCUCUCCAGGUGGGCCUGGGCCUGGGCCUCAGAGCACUGCUGAACCCCCCUCUCCAGGUGGGCCUGGGCCUGGACCUCAGAGCACCGCUGAACUCCGCUCUCCAGGCCUGGGCCUGGGCCUCAGAGCACCGCUGAAACCCCCUCUCCAGGUGAGCCUGGGCCUGGGCCUCAGAGCACCAUUGAACUCCCCUCUCCAGGCCUGGGCCUGGGCCUCAGAGCACCGCUGAACCCCCCUCUCCAGGUGGGCCUGGGCCUGGGCCUCAGAGCACCGCUGAACCCCCCUCUCCAGGCGGGCCUCCCAGCUGCCAGGUGGCCCUGCCCACCCCCACCCCCACCCGACCAUCAGUGAAGCCACUGGGUGCAGGGAGCCCCUCCCUGCACUGGGGUUCCUCGAGCUUUACGUGCCGGGCUCAGCCAUGAGCUCCUUCAUGGACCACUUCUCCAGAUCUAAGUAUAGAAUAUUAGACUCCCCAGGACA